rnacentral:rRNA from 1 species
GAUGAACGCUAGCUACAGGCUUAACACAUGCAAGUCGAGGGGCAGCAUUUUAGUUUGCUUGCAAACUAAAGAUGGCGACCGGCGCACGGGUGAGUAACACGUAUCCAACCUGCCGAUAACUCGGGGAUAGCCUUUCGAAAGAAAGAUUAAUAUCCGAUGGUAUAUUAAAACCGCAUGGUUUUACUAUUAAAGAAUUUCGGUUAUCGAUGGGGAUGCGUUCCAUUAGUUUGUUGGCGGGGUAACGGCCCACCAAGACUACGAUGGAUAGGGGUUCUGAGAGGAAGGUCCCCCACAUUGGAACUGAGACACGGUCCAAACUCCUACGGGAGGCAGCAGUGAGGAAUAUUGGUCAAUGGACGAGAGUCUGAACCAGCCAAGUAGCGUGAAGGAUGACUGCCCUAUGGGUUGUAAACUUCUUUUAUAUGGGAAUAAAGUAUUCCACGUGUGGGAUUUUGUAUGUACCAUAUGAAUAAGGAUCGGCUAACUCCGUGCCAGCAGCCGCGGUAAUACGGAGGAUCCGAGCGUUAUCCGGAUUUAUUGGGUUUAAAGGGAGCGUAGGUGGAUUGUUAAGUCAGUUGUGAAAGUUUGCGGCUCAACCGUAAAAUUGCAGUUGAAACUGGCAGUCUUGAGUACAGUAGAGGUGGGCGGAAUUCGUGGUGUAGCGGUGAAAUGCUUAGAUAUCACGAAGAACUCCGAUUGCGAAGGCAGCUCACUAGACUGCAACUGACACUGAUGCUCGAAAGUGUGGGUAUCAAACAGGAUUAGAUACCCUGGUAGUCCACACAGUAAACGAUGAAUACUCGCUGUUUGCGAUAUACAGUAAGCGGCCAAGCGAAAGCAUUAAGUAUUCCACCUGGGGAGUACGCCGGCAACGGUGAAACUCAAAGGAAUUGACGGGGGCCCGCACAAGCGGAGGAACAUGUGGUUUAAUUCGAUGAUACGCGAGGAACCUUACCCGGGCUUAAAUUGCAUUUGAAUAAUCUGGAAACAGGUUAGCCGCAAGGCAAAUGUGAAGGUGCUGCAUGGUUGUCGUCAGCUCGUGCCGUGAGGUGUCGGCUUAAGUGCCAUAACGAGCGCAACCCUUAUCUUUAGUUACUAACAGGUCAUGCUGAGGACUCUAGAGAGACUGCCGUCGUAAGAUGUGAGGAAGGUGGGGAUGACGUCAAAUCAGCACGGCCCUUACGUCCGGGGCUACACACGUGUUACAAUGGGGGGUACAGAAGGCAGCUACCUGGUGACAGGAUGCUAAUCCCAAAAACCUCUCUCAGUUCGGAUCGAAGUCUGCAACCCGACUUCGUGAAGCUGGAUUCGCUAGUAAUCGCGCAUCAGCCAUGGCGCGGUGAAUACGUUCCCGGGCCU